GAUUCAAGAAGCAAACAAGAACUUGGCCAAAGAGAUUGGUCUACGUGUUAUUCACAUCUGUCUUCCUGAAGGCAGCACCAAAGAUGAGAAAACCAUGUGAAAAUUAAACCAGUGAAGGACUGUGUAGUAGAAGAUGUCUCUGUUAUCAGCUGGCCUCCUUGUGCUUGGCAAGUUUGAUAAUCCUGCAGGCUUAUUGUCAGUGAAAUCUUGAGACUCAAUGACGAUCCUAACGUGCAGGGCCUUGCUCUUGACCUCCCAGAAAGCUUAUAUAGCAG